AGGUGGUGCAUGGCCGUUCUUAGUUCGUGAAGUGAUUCGUUCGCCCAAUCGCAUUUCCAAACAACUAACAACUCAGAAUGCUGGGCAAUAGGACGUUUAAAGUGGCUCCUUACACCUUACAAAGGAAUGGCUGAUGAGAAACAACUCGAUCCGCUCAGCGUUCUAUUGGAAUGCAACGGACGUGAUUGCAAGCUUUUGUUUUGAGUUGCGGUUUUACUGAAAGACUCUACAAUCCGCAAACUUCAAUGAUCUGAAGUAGAAAACCUACAUGCUACAGUGAGAUAUUGUGGAUAAACUUAAGCGACCGCUCCAACAUUGUGUUUUUUUAAAACUGAUGAAGGUUGCGGCAAUAACAGGUCUGUGAUGCCCUUCGAUGUCCUGGGCUGCACACGUGCUACAAUGGCUAGCGCAGUGAGCAUAUUUCAACCGAAACAUCGGUUGGCUGUUCUGAUUGACCCCUUCUGGGUCUCUCUGUAACACUACCGAUGAUCCCUCCUCUGAAAAGAGAGGGUAAGCCGUUCGAAAUU
rnacentral:rRNA from 1 species